ensembl:lncRNA
AUCUAGGACAAAGAGAUGGAGUCUCAGGGGAUGCAGAGCCCCCUGCCGACCCCCGGGGGAGACAGCAAAUCAACAGAAAACUAGAACACAUGCAGAGUGCUCAACCAGAGGUGGCAAUCCAGGGCUGCAGGCAGAGGGGCCUUGAGGAAGAGCCGGCCUCAGAAGUAAAGCAACCGAAGAAGGAGAGGCCCUAGUCUGAACCAGGACGGUGUCCGCCUGAGCCUAGGGGCCUGGGACGCAUGAGAAAGAGGCAGAGACACAGCCCUGAAGGGUGAUGAGCCUCACCUGACUGCUGGCCAGCCCUGCAGUGAGGCCUCCCUGGCACCCUACAGGCCCCUUGAUAUAAGUCAGUGCAGCCUCUCACUAAGCUGGAUGACCCCUUCAGUCACAGUGCAGGGGGCGCAUGGAGCCUGGCCGUCCGGUGGGCAUGGUGACAGAGGGACCAGCAGUAAUACAUCCGGAGAGGACAGGAAGUCAGAAGCCAGUCCCUCCAGACCAGGACACACGCCCCAGGGAAGCUGGAUGGCAUCGAAAGCCCCAGACCCGGGGAACAAAGUAGUCCCUGGUGGUUCCUAGAGCUGUUCCCUCCUGGGGGGUCCCGCCCGAGGUCCCAUUCCUCCUAUUUCCAGGCCCUCAAAGGCUUUCCAACCCACACAGGUACUUCCCUGCAAGUGAAUGCAACAUCUCCCACAAGAGGCAAGUGCCACAGGGCCCCUGGGAUGUUCAGCCCCCAGAGCUGGAAAAGAAAACCAAACUGAGUCUGUUAAGUUCUCAGAGGGCAUGUGGCCACCAGCCCACACUUUAAAUGCUCACCCAUGGCAAGGGGCUAUGAUGAAUAAAACUGCUGUAUCCAUUUGUGUGCAGACUUUUGUAUGAACAUCAGUUUCCUUUGCUCUGGGACAAGUGGCCAAGAGCACAAAAUCUUGUUGUGUGUUGUCGCAUGGGGAGAAACUAGCUGUUUUCCAGAGUUGGGCUGGACCAGAAAUUCCUUAUAGGAAAGUUUUCUUUCUAAAGUUUUGUUUUUAGACUUAGUGGGGGUACUGUGGACCACUCUGUAUUACCUGUGAAACUUCCUGUGAAUCUAUCAUUAUUCCAACAAUAAAUUGGAGAACACGACUCUAUUUCUAAAAUGAUGAUCCUCAAAUCAGUAUGGCAUUUGGAAUCUACUGGGUAUGCCAGAAAGUGAUGUAAGUUUUAAAAGUGUUGAUAUUUACACCAGCAUAGCAGACAGAUUCUUUACUGUUUGAGCCACCAGGGAAGCCCAUACACCAGAAAUCAUAUACCUAAUAACUAUACAUACUUAAUGAUUUUUACUUAAGGCCUCCUGAAUUCUUUCAGUGAACAUGUCAGGUAAAACAUCAGCUGGUGUAACUG